AAACAACAAACCACACAAAAUUUAAAAAUCAAAGUAAUGUCCAAUCCGAAUUAUAUAGUCCCAAAAAUUGAAAAUGCGAAAAUAUAAAUCCUAUUCUAAACUAGUCCAAGACUAAACUCCACCCGACGUUUCGGAUCUUGAUCACGAACCUCCUUCGAGUACAAAUUCCUCGGGGCAUUCUCCGGAUGAAAUAAUACAGAUACCUCGGAGCAUUCCCUGACAAAAUAGUACAAUUAAUCCAAGUACGACAAGACAAUUCAUUCAACACACAUUUUUAACAUUCACCAAUCCAUAAUUCUUAUAUUUGCCUACUCGAGCCUAUCGUUUGUCUACCCAACUCGACCUAUCAUGGCAUUAUCACAUUCAACGAUAUCAAUAAAUCAAAAUAAUAACGCUUCCUUCUUAAUAAUUUUCAAUUUUCAUCUCACUUAUUCCCAAUCACAUGAUUAAUCAAUGUUGAUAUGAAAUCAAACAAUCAAAGUCACAACAACGAUGAUUAAAAUUUGCAAACACACUAUCAAAAUAUAUCAUCAACACGUAAUCAUAACAUCAAGACCGAAUCAAGAUAAAUAAGAGAAAUAGAGUUAAAAGAAUUAGACCUCAAUGCUUUUUCAAAUGUCGAAUUACACGAUCGAAAUGGAGCUUUGGAAAUCUAGAACCUCGAACGUGACCUCGAAUAUCAAAACCUUCGCCACAAUCUCGACCCCAAACACUGUUUUCCCAAAAAUGCCGAUUCCAAAAAUAAAACAAAAACGAACCUAAAUUUGCUUGAGAACCCAAAACUCGAACAAAGCUUCAUCGAAACAGUAACGACAACAGCGGACUUUUGGUCGCUGAUUUGCCACGUUUUUUGGAGAGUAGAGCUAGUUUUGAUUGUUAGAGGGAUUUUUCGAUGAGGGAAUGGAGUUUUUCGGCGAAUUCUCAUCGGAAAAACCAAACUUCCCGAUCUGUUUUCCUCAAUUUCGAUCACCAUCUCCCAGUUUUCUCUCCGAUCACUCCUCUUUUCUCAGUUUUCUCUCUCCAUCUCUAUCUCUUGAAUCUUCAGUUUCUACUCCCUUCUUCGAUUGUGUGUGUUCUUUUACCCGUGGUGUGUCUAAUUAUUUGCUGAGAGUGUGUUAAUGGAGUCUCUAUGGUGUGUGUGUGUAGCUAUGUAUGGCGGUUUGUAUAUGAAUUGUGUGUGCUAUCUAUUUUUGUGAGGAUCCUUCUGUGAGAAUAUGUAUAUCCCUUUUAUGUGAUGCUGGUGUGUGCGUAUAUGGUAUUUAUGUCGAUCUCUGGAAUGAUGAGAAAGUUCUGUAUAUGUGUGAGUGUGUGUAUAUUUUUCUCUGUAUGUGUAUAUUGGUGUCUGUAUGUAUAUUGGUGAGGUGAGUGUGAAU
rnacentral:lncRNA from 1 species